CGCGUAGGCGGCCUGAUAAGUAGGGGGUGAAAUCCUGUGGCUUAACUGCAGGGCUGCCUCCUAGACUGUCUGGCUCGAGCACGGUAGAGGCAGAUGGAAUUCCCGGUGUAGCGGUGGAAUGCGUAGAGAUCGGGAAGAACAUCGGUGGCGAAGGCGGUCUGCUGGGCCGUUGCUGACGCUGAGGCGCGACAGCGUGGGGAGCAAACA
rnacentral:rRNA from 1 species